AAACCAGCCCUAACACGCCAGAGCCCCAUCUCUCAGGAGGGCCCAGAAGCUGGACAACUUAAGCCACUCCUUGGCCUCCCCAGCCAGGGGCCUGGGCAGGAAAGAUGGGGUGGUG
rnacentral:sRNA from 1 species